GGUAUUUUGUCUAUCUGUUGAGUCCUUAUCCAGGACCUGGGAUAGGCAGAUGUGGAUGAUGAUGAUGAUUAAUAUGUUUAGUUGAUUUCUUUGGCAGACCAAUUAAGCCCAAUUCAAUAAAAAACAAAUAAGAACUCUAGGUAAAAGCAGAAAAAUAAUUUAUUCCAGGUUGUUCUCCCAUAAAGGUUUUUUUUAAAAAAACCCAUAGAAUAGCAUGCAGACAUUCGGUAAAUUGAAAAAAAGCUUGCAAUAUCUAUGGUCUAUAGUAUACAACCAUUAAGAGGACUGACCUUUUCAAACAACAAGAACCCUGAGGGUAAGCAAUUAGCAAAAAAGUAAUGCUAUAUAACUGCAACAUCCCUUAUGUCUGUCAAGUUAAUAAUACGCGCUCCCAAGUCCCAGCGAUUCGUCAGCAUUAUUCAUUAUUCUAACAAUUUCAGAAAAGCGAUUUUGAAAACAUAUCACAGCACAGCGAUGACAAUUAUUGCCACCACUAAAAGGCUAUUUUUGAAAAACGUUAUCUGGAGGCGGUCCCUGAAAUCAGGAGACUGAAUGAAAAAGCAACCACGCGCGCCAAGGCUUGUCAUGCGUAAGUACAACUUCAUGCCGUUUAGAAAUCGAAGCGGCUUUGCGGCCCAAUUGAAACCAGACAUUCAGAUGUAAAAGACGAAAGCGGCACCUCCGGCGAUCAAGGUCACAAGUACUGGCAUCCCAGAAAAACAGCACUUCUUUAGCCAGGAAGAAGCGCGCUCAUGCCCUGGCAUUCUGCCGCGGACAGGGGGGCGGGCAGCAUUACCGGCCUUCGACUCAAGAGAGGAAAAGCGGAAAGCAACACCUACCUCCUCCCAGCAGUGGAGUCAAGAACUCGCGAGGCCUCCCGCUCGUCAAGCCCACGCGGGCGCUACGAGCCGGAGGGGCCGGCACGCCAGGCCCACGGCCAGCCCCCUAAGAAAGCCUUCAGAGAACCCGGGAGCUCAGGAGCCAUUCGCCUCCAUGGUGCGUCGCUGGGCUCCGCGCUGGGCUCCGCGCUGAGCUAAAAUCCCAAACCCCGGGAAUCUCCCUCAGACCCCGCCGGUUCCCGCCCCUCUCCGCCUUUGUGAGGCCGUGGCGGGAGCCCUUGGUGUUUCCCGCCGGCUUUUCCCCGGCUGCUUUCUCCUGGGAGUUACCCAAGAAGUGUCGUGUUCUUACCGGGUUCUUCGCACGGAAAAAGGGAUGAAAUUGACGUAUCCAAACCUGUACAAGUAUCCUCGACUUAGAACCACAAUUGAGCCCAACAUUUCUGUUGCUAAGAGACAGUUAAGAUUACUUUGCAUAUGGCAGCAAAUGAGCUCCUAUUAUGAGUCGAAACAAAUGAAUACAGCACUAAAAAGAACCUGAAAAUACUUUUAAUAAUCAUGGUAAAAUGUUCAGAUGACUGACCUGAUACACUUGGAUCCAACCUUACAGUCUGUUAUUCUGUCCAGAAGAUUGAUGAAAGAAUUACGCUCACUUCCAAAAUGACAUAAAGGAACACUGAAGGCUUUGGAUUCUGGGAUGUGUUUGCAGUAUAAGAACAAAACAAAGAAGCAGAACUGAAGCACCAGUCCUCCUCCUAUUCAUCAUGUGUUCCAGGGACUGAAAGAACAAAGAGAACAGCAGUCUUUCUGAGAUGUUUAGGCAAGAAUAGAAUGAAAUCCAGAGUAAGACAGCGUUAUACCAUUUAAUUGUUAUAAUGCAUGAUGUGAGAAAUUUGUAUUUGGAGCUCUCAAUUUUUUUUAUUUAAUAUGCAGUUGUGGGAGGUAGUAGGGAUUAGAUUUUGACUGGAGAACUGGGUAACAUAUAUUUUCCUCUUAUGUACUGUAGUCUCAACUCAAAUUAUAUUUUUGAAAUUGCUACUGGUCAGAGAGAAAACAAAACAGAUAUAAUUUGGCUUUCCCUUUUUCAUUCUGCAUCUAACAGCACACUGGGGAUAUUUAGAAAGUGAUAAAGGGAAGAACAGCUAAUUUUCUC